rnacentral:pre_miRNA from 1 species
ACUAUAUAGAACAACUGACGUCUGUUGUAGCCAGCGGAUGUUUUAUUUGGUAGUUGCGCUUUAUUAAAUCUAUCAUAAGACACACGCGGCUAUAACAGUGCCGUUCAACAAGCAAC